rnacentral:rRNA from 1 species
ACUCUAAGCGGUGGAUCACUCGGCUCAUGGGUCGAUGAAGAACGCAGCAAACUGUGCGUCAUCGUGUGAACUGCAGGACACAUGAACAUCGACAUUUUGAACGCAUAUCGCAGUCCAUGCUGUUAUGUACUUUAAUUAAUUUUAUAGUGCUGCUUGGACUACAUAUGGUUGAGGGUUGUAAGACUAUGCUAAUUAAGUUGCUUAUAAAUUUUUAUAAGCAUAUGGUAUAUUAUUGGAUAAAUAUAAUAAUUUUUAUUCAUAAUAUUAAAAAAUAAAUGAAAAACAUUAUCUCACAUUUGAAUGUGAAAAACGAAGAGAAAUAUUUUCUUUUUCAAUCAAAUAAUACUGAGAAAUGUCUAGCAUAAAAAAUUGAAAUAUUUUUCAUCUAGAAUUGUCUCUUAUUAAUGAUUCGGAAAUAGAAAAAUCUUGGUUAUGUUAUUAUUCUUCGUUGGUUCGUUAAAAAUGGAUAAAUAAAAACUUUGCAUACAAGAAUUAAUAAAAAUGUUAUAACGAAUUUAAUUAAAUGUUUUAUCAUUAUAUAUAAAGAAUUUAUGGCAAGAUAAAGUUAUAUACAACCUCAACUCAUAUGGGACUACCCCCUGAAUUUAAGCAUAUUAAUUAGGGGAGGAAAAGAAACUAACAAGGAUUUUCUUAGUAGCGGCGAGCGAAAAGAAAACAGUUCAGCACUAAGUCACUUUGUCUAUAUGGCAAAUGUGAGAUGCAGUGUAUGGAGCGUCAAUAUUCUAGUAUGAGAAAUUAACGAUUUAAGUCCUUCUUAAAUGAGGCCAUUUACCCAUAGAGGGUGCCAGGCCCGUAUAACGUUAAUGAUUACUAGAUGAUGUUUCCAAAGAGUCGUGUUGCUUGAUAGUGCAGCACUAAGUGGGUGGUAAACUCCAUCUAAAACUAAAUAUAACCAUGAGACCGAUAGUAAACAAGUACCGUGAGGGAAAGUUGAAAAGAACUCUGAAUAGAGAGUUAAACAGUACGUGAAACUGCUUAGAGGUUAAGCCCGAUGAACCUGAAUAUCCGUUAUGGAAAAUUCAUCAUUAAAAUUGUAAUAUUUAAAUAAUAUUAUGAGAAUAGUGUGCAUUUUUUCCAUAUAAGGACAUUGUAAUCUAUUAGCAUAUACCAAAUUUAUCAUAAAAUAUAACUUAUAGUUUAUUCCAAUUAAAUUGCUUGCAUUUUAACACAGAAUAAAUGUUAUUAAUUUGAUAAAGUGCUGAUAGAUUUAUAUGAUUACAGUGCGUUAAUUUUUCGGAAUUAUAUAAUGGCAUAAUUAUCAUUGAUUUUUGUGUUUAUUAUAUGCACUUGUAUGAUUAACAAUGCGAAAGAUUCAGGAUACCUUCGGGACCCGUCUUGAAACACGGACCAAGGAGUCUAACAUAUGUGCAAGUUAUUGGGAUAUAAACCUAAUAGCGUAAUUAACUUGACUAAUAAUGGGAUUAGUUUUUUAGCUAUUUAUAGCUAAUUAACACAAUCCCGGGGCGUUCUAUAUAGUUAUGUAUAAUGUAUAUUUAUAUUAUUUAUGCCUCUAACUGGAACGUACCUUGAGCAUAUAUGCUGUGACCCGAAAGAUGGUGAACUAUACUUGAUCAGGUUGAAGUCAGGGGAAACCCUGAUGGAAGACCGAAACAGUUCUGACGUGCAAAUCGAUUGUCAGAAUUGAGUAUAGGGGCGAAAGACCAAUCGAACCAUCUAGUAGCUGGUUCCUUCCGAAGUUUCCCUCAGGAUAGCUGGUGCAUUUUAAUAUUAUAUAAAAUAAUCUUAUCUGGUAAAGCGAAUGAUUAGAGGCCUUAGGGUCGAAACGAUCUUAACCUAUUCUCAAACUUUAAAUGGGUAAGAACCUUAACUUUCUUGAUAUGAAGUUCAAGGUUAUGAUAUAAUGUGCCCAGUGGGCCACUUUUGGUAAGCAGAACUGGCGCUGUGGGAUGAACCAAACGUAAUGUUACGGUGCCCAAAUUAACAACUCAUGCAGAUACCAUGAAAGGCGUUGGUUGCUUAAAACAGCAGGACGGUGAUCAUGGAAGUCGAAAUCCGCUAAGGAGUGUGUAACAACUCACCUGCCGAAGCAACUAGCCCUUAAAAUGGAUGGCGCUUAAGUUGUAUACCUAUACAUUACCGCUAAAGUAGAUGAUUUAUAUUACUUGUGAUAUAAAUUUUGAAACUUUAGUGAGUAGGAAGGUACAAUGGUAUGCGUAGAAGUGUUUGGCGUAAGCCUGCAUGGAGCUGCCAUUGGUACAGAUCUUGGUGGUAGUAGCAAAUAAUCGAAUGAGACCUUGGAGGACUGAAGUGGAGAAGGGUUUCGUGUGAACAGUGGUUGAUCACGAGUUAGUCGGUCCUAAGUUCAAGGCGAAAGCCGAAAAUUUUCAAGUAAAACAAAAAUGCCUAACUAUAUAAACAAAGCGAAUUAUAAUACACUUGAAUAAUUUUGAACGAAAGGGAAUACGGUUCCAAUUCCGUAACCUGUUGAGUAUCCGUUUGUUAUUAAAUAUGGGCCUCGUGCUCAUCCUGGCAACAGGAACGACCAUAAAGAAGCCGUCGAGAGAUAUCGGAAGAGUUUUCUUUUCUGUUUUAUAGCCGUACUACCAUGGAAGUCUUUCGCAGAGAGAUAUGGUAGAUGGGCUAGAAGAGCAUGACAUAUACUGUUGUGUCGAUAUUUUCUCCUCGGACCUUGAAAAUUUAUGGUGGGGACACGCAAACUUCUCAACAGGCCGUACCAAUAUCCGCAGCUGGUCUCCAAGGUGAAGAGUCUCUAGUCGAUAGAAUAAUGUAGGUAAGGGAAGUCGGCAAAUUAGAUCCGUAACUUCGGGAUAAGGAUUGGCUCUGAAGAUUGAGAUAGUCGGGCUUGAUUGGGAAACAAUAACAUGGUUUAUGUGCUCGUUCUGGGUAAAUAGAGUUUCUAGCAUUUAUGUUAGUUACUUGUUCCCCGGAUAGUUUAGUUACGUAGCCAAUUGUGGA